GGAUUUUAAUCCCCAAAGGAGCCUUUGCUCCAUUGACGUCAGACAUGCAUGCGGAUGACUUCAGCGCAGGGUGGUUGUGCCGAGGGCCGUGAGACUGACAUAAACCAACUACUCUGAGAGUCUGGGUUGGGGGAGAACUCUUCUAGCAAGGUGAUUAUGAAGAGCUCUGUGAAGGAGUGGGCUUGAUCUGAGCUUUCAAAGAUGCUCUGCAUUUUAGUAGGUGGUGACUGAAGGUUGCCUGGGAGACACCCUUCCAAGUACAGGAAACGGCACAAGCGAAUGAGUAGAAGGCUGAGCCAGUGAGACACAACAUAUUUCACUCAACGACCGGAUGUGUGAGAGAACUGCUUAUUUUUUAAAUGAGAGACAGAUAUGGAUGCUUAACUCUGAUGACUGAGGUUGACUACAGAGGUGAAAUAUGAGGUGCUGAGCACAAGGCUUUAUGGUAACAGUUACUUAUUUAUUUAUCAAGGAAGAAAGACCAGAUAGGUAAGUAAACAAGGAAGAAAGUGCACGUUGAUCAAUUUGCAUCAGAUUUUAAAUUCUAUUGCUCAACACAAAUUCUUUCCAUCAAGUUAUCCUUAGUUGAAGCUCAGUGAAUACUAGCUUUUGGUAAGGGUACUCAGAUUUCUAAAAGAAAAUAAAUUGGAUGAAUUGGAUGUCUUGAAUUUAGUUGCCUUGCACAAUGGUUCUAAAUAGAAUUGUCUAAUCCUAAGCAGUCACCCAAAAACAAAAAUUGUCUGUUACAAAUGAACAAUAAAAAAGCAAAGAACUCAAUCAAAAAGUGGGCAGAGGAGAUGAACAUUUUUCCAAAGAAGAUACACAGAUGGCCAAUAAACACAUGAAAAGAUGUUCAACCUCACUAAGCAUCAGGCAAAUGCAAAUCAAAACUACACUAAGAUACCUUACACCUGUUAAAAUGGCUAUAAUCACUAAGACUAAAAACAACAAAUGUUGGAGAGGGUGUGGAGAGAAGGGAACCCUCACACACUGCUGGUGGGAAUGCGAACUGGUGCAGCCACUGUGGAAAACAGUAUGGAGAUUCCUCAAAAAACUAAAAAAUAGACCUACCAUAUGACCCAGCUAUCCCACUACUGGGUAUCUACCCAAACAAUUUGAAAUCAACAAUCCGAAGUAACAUAUUCACCUCUAUGUUCAUUGCAGCACUAUUCACAACAGCCAAGACAUGGAAACAAUCCAAGUGCCCAUCGACCGAUGAUUGGAUAAAGAUGUGGUCCUUGCCUUUCCAGGACAUUGACGUAAGGCAGAACAUGCUUCCUGUACUUCUCUAAGCAGCCCGAGUGGACCAAGACAAGGGCCGUGUACGGCGGGCGCCACUGAGUGUGAGACCUGCGGGUUCCUCCUCGUGUCUGGGGAUUGGCAGUUCUCUUCCCCACUUCACAGACGAGGAAGCUGAAACCCAGAGAGGACACAUCACCUGCCCAAGCGUCACAAUAAAACUUUUGAGACCAAGCUUCUCCCAGACACUAAAGAAAGAGUUGUAAAUCGUCCUGGCCACGGUGGGUAUACAGCAUCUCAGAAGCUUCUGCUUCCCGCAACCCGACUCUGCUUGAGGCAUUUUGCCAUGUGCUGGAGAAACAACAAUGAAAAGAUAACCUCAUCGCGAAACAAAGACAAGCAAAUAAAGUAAUUUCAAAUUAUGGGAACUAUAGCAAAGGAAACGACCAGGGUACUGACGCUGAGAAUAAUCUCUUAGGCACUGUUGUGAUGGAGAUCAUUUUGAGACAUUUCACCGAUGUGGUUAAACUUGUAGUUCAUAUAUUCCCGAGCUGAAUAAGAUACCACUGGAAGUAUCACACCUUCUCUAGAAAGUCGUCUGGAAGCUUCUGAUAGAGCUGUGUGUUCUCCACCUGAAUGCUCGUCCUUCAAAUGCCUGAGCGGGGCGCCUACCACAGCAUGGCUUGCCAAGCAGCGCUGUCUCCAAACCCGGGCUCCGAACCUGCGAACCCCUGGCCGCUGAGAAGCGGAACGUGCGCACUUAACAGCUGCGCCACCGGCCGGCCCCUGGACUCUUCUGAUGACUUCUGCCUGCCUUUCUGAAAAUGCCCGUCCUGCCUUCCCCCGACUUUCCAGCCCCAGGCCCCCCAACACUCCCUGCCCCCAGAGCAGAUCCCACCCCUCCGACCUGACUUCUCGGAUACCUGAAACUGCCCAGAGACCCAUUAUUUUUCCGGGACGCUCCCAGGAAGAUAAAUUUGUCCGUUCUCCUUGAUGCGGAUGAAUUUCUCGUCUUCUUUCCCAGCGGGUUUUGGUUGAGAGACGUGAGAGAAGAGGGAAGCCCUAGGGCCCGGGCCCAGUGACGGCGCGCUGCAGACCUGGACAGGAGAAGGGGUUCAGAAAGGCGGGAUCAGCGUAGACUUUCGUUGCAUCAGGCCACACCUUCUGUCUGCGCUCACGCGUGUCUGCCCCUUAAGGACUCUGUCCUUCCCCUCCCGUCAGCCCUCAGGAGAAAGCCCCCGGCCCUGGCUUCAAACCCCUAUUAACUGCUGUUGGUCAGCACAGCACAAAGCCACCUUUGUGAGAGAGGUUAGGUUAGCUUCUCUUUACUGCUCUAGAAAUCUGGCUGCAGACAGAACUAGCGACCUGGGGCCGGUCCCUGGCACAGUCUCCGGGCGGUGUCCUAACUGGAACGCUGAACGAGUCCCCAGUGCCGGAGCCUUGCGGUGGCUGAAAAAUGACGCUUGCAUUCCCGUCAUCAACCAGAUGGCUCAUGUCGAGUGUCCUGAUUGUUUUGGGUAUUCUUUGUGUGCAACUUUGAGUCCCUGUCUCGUAUUUGGGUCAGAGCAACGGGAAGGACACAUGACUUGCUUUAAAAUUAGCCUCAAACUCAUUGCAUAACCGGUCUCGUUUUCACUAAAUGGAAUGGUUUCUUGAGAGGACAGCAUGGCAUUUGUAGUUAAGUCUGUCUGGUUGAGUUACCUUGGAGAACAUCGUUUCCAUCCACCAGGACUCAGUGUUUCCACCUGUGAAAUGGGGUAGCUUUUGUUUGAAAGAAAAUAAAUGAAGGGUAACAACAUAAAAGUAACCACCUCAUCCAGACCCCCUUCCCCCAGCCACACCACACACACACUCACACUCACACACUCACACACACACACACACACAGUUUUGGGGCUUGUCAGCAGAUGGACAACAAUCUCUUCUAGUCCCCAAAAGACAGGGCAAACAUAGAGCGGAAAGAAAUGCUUACUCCCUAAAUCACGCCAUCGUCAGAGCCCAGCGGCAUGUUCUGAUGGCUUAGUGAGCUCAGAGAAUAUAUUUUAAGUCUUAAGAAAACAAACUUUUCUGUCUGUUUUCUCCUGGGACCGGGACAUAGUCUUCAUACAAAUUCAAAAUCAACAAAAAGAAACUAACAAAAAACCCUCCUGACUGCUGUCCUUCUCCAAGAACAAAUGGUUUCUCCAGAUUUCUGAUUCAUCUUGGCAAUGUGUGCGAAUAAACCCGAAUGACCCCGAGGAUAAAUAGAUGCAAAGAACUAGGCGUGAUUGUGUAUGCCUAGAAUGUUUCUUUGUAACAGCAAACAGUGUUCCCAUGAUCGGUUGAGUUAGAAGAAUGGUCUGUUGUAAUUUAUAUCUCACUUCUGAGGUGGUGGUAAAUUGCCGAGGGUUAGAGCAGAGAGUGCUAAAAGAUGUGGGCCUCUUUUAAGUAGGGGGACAAAGAGGAGGUGACAUUCAGCUAGAAGCCACCAAGCACAGGGUAAAUCCAUCUUACAGCCGGCUGUGUCACCAGGCGAGGAGGCUUCCGGGUGCUCUAAGAUCUUUGCAGCAGACGGACCUGGGUUCAGAUCCCAGCUUCCUGGCCACGUGGCCUCGGGCCAGCUUCCUGCCUUUUAGAACCUCUCUCCGCUCCUCUGUAAAGUGAGGGUGAGAACAGUGCCUUGUGAGGCUUAAGUGAGAUGAUGCUUGUAGAGAGGGCUCAGCAGAGUGCCUGGUACACAAUCAGCCCUGACAAAUGCUGGACAUUGUGGGAAAUUGUACUUAGCCCUCAUCUCCUAGGGCUGCCAUGACGAAUUACCGCAAAUUUGGUAACUUAACACAACAGAAAUUUAUUCUCUUGCAGCUCUAGGGACCAGGAGUCUGAAAGCAAGGUGUUGGCAGCUCGGUGCUCCCCUGAGGGCUCUGGGGAGUAUCCUUCCCCACCUCUAGCAGCUUCCAGCGGCUGUGGGCAUUCCUUGGCUUGGGGCUGCAUGCAUCGCUCCAGUCUCUGCCUCCAAGUUCAUGCAGCCUUCUCCCCUUCUCCCUCUGUCUCUCUUCUAUUUGUCUCUUAGAAGGACACAUUAUUGUAUUUAGGGCCUACCUAGAUAAUCCAGAAUGAUCUUAUCUCGAGACCCCUAAUUUAACACAUCUGCAAAAAUAAGGUCACAUUCACGGGUUCUAGGGACUAGGAUGUGGGUAUAUCUGUUCGGGGACCACUAUUCAAUCCACUACAGUAAUAUUUAUAUGGUUAUUUAGCAAGAAGUGCAGUACUGGCCAUCACCCUGGGUGGGCGGGGUCCUGGGCCCAUCACUUUAGAAGGCCCUCUGUCACAUGGCACGGGCUCAGUGUAACCCCCAAUGCUGAACAUCUGCAGGUGACUGACACCCUCCAGGCCCCAAGGUAUCCCCUACAUCUUUUGCCCCGUGUUCUCCAAGCAGAAGGUAACCACGCCCAAAGCUGCAAAGGUUUGUAGAGUGUGCCACUGCUGACCUCAGAUCUGACGCUGCCUCGGAGAGCGAGGAAGAUGCUGGUGGUAGAAGCUCCUGGGAGAGAGGGAAGAUGACGUAGCUGUGCCAUCCUCCUCUCCAAGUGGCCCGCCUGCAACAGUCUCUGGUUUCUCUUCAUGUUCCAACGGAUGGUUCUGGAAUUAUUCGUGAAUUAGCACAAUAUCCACAACAGUUCACGGUACACUUAAAUGCAGAUGUAUGUAGGUGCACCAAUAAUAUGUGUGAAGCAUGAUAUCAACUCUUUACAACACUAUAUGGAUCUGUAUAUUUUUAAAUAUUGUUUUAAGAGAUUUUGAAAAUCAUGAAAUAAAUGAUGGUGAUUUAUAGGAUGAAAUUAAAACAUUUGUAACAGUGUCUGUGAUCAUGAAUAUAUCAGAUGCAACCCAAUUACAAUGUUGGUAUAUAAAACUCAUGAUCCAUUUCCAAAUCAAAGUAUUGCUUUAAGAAUUUUAUUGACGAUUUCAAUUGCUGCUGCCUCUGCAGAGCAAAAUUUCUCCACAUUGAAAAUUUAAAAAAACCCAAAGAUUCGAGAAAGGUCAUCUAGUGUGCAUUACUUUUAAUAGGACUCAAAUGAUGUGAAAAUAUUGAUUAUAACAACAUAAUUAGUGGUUUUGCUGAAAUGAAAACCAGG
ensembl:lncRNA